UCCAUCCCCCCUUGUCCUCUCCCUCCCUGCCCUCAUCAUCAAAGCAGGGAAUGAGCUGAACCACCUUUGUCUUGACUGAAAAACCCUCCUGUACGUAGUAAGUUGAUGAUAACCAGGUGAUCCAUUCCCUUCCACUGCCCCUCAAGGGCUUUUGUGGUGUCUUCACAGUCACGUUAUAAAAUACAAUGUUACAAAAGUAUGAAAAUUCCGGUGUCCUACCAGUAUGGUCAUCUCUGGAGGGAAUGGGGGAAGGAGUAGCUGAAUGGUUGAGGGGUUUUUUUUAACCAGUCCUGUUAGGCAGAUGCACUGGGGCUCUGGAGAGCUGUGUGCUCUCCAUCCAGAGGCUCUGCAGCCCAAGGGUGGGCAGCACCUUCCCCUCUGAGCUUCCCACCACCCCAGCAAGAUCCCCUCUGAGCUUCCCACCACCCCAGCAAGAUCCCCUCUGAGCUUCCCACCACCCCAGCAAGAUCCCCUCUGAGCUUCCCACCACCCCAGCAAGAUCCCCUCUGAGCUUCCCACCACCCCAGCAAGAUCCCCUCUGAGCUUCCCACCACCCCAGCAAGGUCCCCUCUGAGCUUCCCACCACCCCAGCAAGAUCCCCUCUGAGCUUCCCACCACCCCAGCAAGAUCCCCUCUGAGCUUCCCACCACCCCAGCAAGAUCCCCUCUGAGCUUCCCACCACCCCAGCAAGGUCCCCUCUGAGCUUCCCACCACCCCAGCAAGGUCCCCUCUGAGCUUCCCACCACCCCAGCAAGAUCCCCUCUGAGCUUCCCACCACCCCAGCAAGAUCCCCUCUGAGCUUCCCACCACCCCAGCAAGAUCCCCUCUGAGCUUCCCACCACCCCAGCAAGAUCCCCUCUGAGCUUCCCACCACCCCAGCAAGAUCCCCUCUGAGCUUCCCACCACCCCAGCAAGAUCCCCUCUGAGCUUCCCACCACCCCAGCAAGGUCCCACCCGAGCGGUGCCUUUGGCCGGGCAGCUCAUCCUCCCCGUCCCAGAGGAUCCCUUCUGAUUUCCCAAAGCUGACAGCCCGGCUGCUUUUGUGUUC